GCAUAUCAAUAAGCGGAGGAAAAGAAACCAACAGGGAUUGCCUUAGUAACGGCGAGUGAAGCGGCAAAAGCUCAAAUUUGAAAUCUGGCACCUUCGGUGUCCGAGUUGUAAUUUGAAGAAGGAAGGUUUAUGGGUCUUGUCUAUGUUCCUUGGAAUAGGACGUCACAGAGGGUGAGAAUCCCGUGCGAUGAGAUUCCGUAUUGUAAUCUUCCUUCGAAGAGUCGAGUUGUUUGGGAAUGCAGCUCUAAGUGGGUGGUAAAUUCCAUCUAAAGCUAAAUAUUGGCGAGAGACCGAUAGCGAACAAGUACAGUGAUGGAAAGAUGAAAAGAACUUUGAAAAGAGAGUGAAAAAGUACGUGAAAUUGUUGAAAGGGAAGGAUUUGAGAUCAGACUUGGUAUUUUGCAACCUUACUCUCGUGGUGGGGCCCCUGCAGUUUACUGGGCCAGCAUCAGUUUGGAUGAUGGGAUAAGGACAUUGGAAUGUGACUCUGCCUCGGUGGAGUGUUAUAGCCUUUGUUGAUACCGUCUAUCUAGACUGAGGACUGCGUCUUUGACUAGGAUGUUGGCAUAAUGAUCUUAAAUCACCCCGUCUUGAAACACGGACC
rnacentral:rRNA from 1 species